GGGGAUGACGUCAAAUCAUCAUGCCCCUUAUGACCUGGGCUACACACGUGCUACAAUGGAUGGUACAACGAGUUGCGAACUCGCGAGAGUAAGCUAAUCUCUUAAAGCCAUUCUCAGUUCGGAUUGUAGGCUGCAACUCGCCUACAUGAAGUCGGAAUCGCUAGUAAUCGCGGAUCAGCAUGCCGCGGUGAAUACGUUCCCGGGCCUUGUACACACCGCCCGUCACACCAUGAGAGUUUGUAACACCCAAAGUCGGURGGGUAACCUUUUAGGAACCAGYCGCCUAAGGUGGGACAGAUGAUUAGGGUGAAGUCGUAACAAGGUAGCCGUAGGAGAACCUGCGGCUGGAUCACCUCCUUUCUAAGGAA
rnacentral:rRNA from 2 species